rnacentral:rRNA from 1 species
AACGGCCGUACCAUGCUGAAUAUACCGGUUCCCGUUAGAUCACCGAAGUCAAGCAUCAUUGGGCGCGGUCAGUACUUGGGUAGGUAGGUGACCACCUGGGAACACCGCGUGCCGUU